UGGGGGAAAGGUGGUCCAUGCAGAAGCACAUGGGCAGAAGAAGACGUUUUGACAGCUAUCGAAGGACCCUCUGCAAGUCUUGAAAACUUGUAUAUCUGUGGUCAUCUUGAAUUCCCCAUCUUGCAGGGAACCAAAAGAUGAAAUUGGUCUAAAUAAUAUGUUUUUCUCUUGAGGUGAAUAGGAUCAUCAUUCUGCACAUAUUCUGCCAAGUCUGGUACCAUCCUCCAUCCCUAUGUCACUCUCAUUCUCAUCAAAAUACCUUUUC
rnacentral:lncRNA from 1 species